rnacentral:rRNA from 1 species
GGUCAGAACGAACGCUGGCGGCGCGUCUUAAGCAUGCAAGUCGAACGGCAAGAGGUAGCAAUACCUCCUAGAGUGGCGGACUGGUGAGUAACACGUGGGUGACAUACCCUUCAGAUGGGGAUAGCUAUUAGAAAUAGUAGAUAAUACCGAAUACGAGCACAGGGGUUAGAGAUCUGUGAGGAAAGGAGCUAAGGCUCCGCUGAAGGAAUGGCCUGCGGCCCAUUAGCUAGUUGGUGAGGUAAGAGCCCACCAAGGCGAUGAUGGGUAUCCGGCCUUAGAGGGUGAACGGACACAUUGGGACUGAGAUACGGCCCAGACUCCUACGGGAGGCAGCAGCUAAGAAUAUUCCGCAAUGGACGAAAGUCUGACGGAGCGACGCCGCGUGGAUGAAGAAGGCCGGAAGGUUGUAAAAUCCUUUUGAAACUGAAGAAUAAGCGUUGUAGGGAAUGACAGCGUGGUGACAGUAGGUUUUGAAUAAGCAACGGCUAAUUACGUGCCAGCAGCCGC